rnacentral:lncRNA from 1 species
UCGAACAGUGAAGGAAAAGUGACGACUCGAUAUUUUAUUGAUUUCACUUAGUUUAUUGUGCUAGAAUUAAUCAGGGAAUUGUGCUUCAUUGUCCGGUAUUUUUCUAUUUUUCCUAAUUAUGCUUAAUUUUACCAGAAAUUCUAAUUUUAAUUAAUUUGAAUUUUCUGAGCUAAUUAUUUGCAUUAUUAUUUUCAGGGAAAAUUUUGGAAAAACAAUUUAGGACAUUUGGAGGACACCAAAUAAAUUCAAGACUC